AACUUGAUUCUUUUGAAAGGAGGUCUAGCUGAUAAUUAGAUGUUAGAAGGUUAGAAUCCUUCCAAGUUU
rnacentral:tRNA from 1 species